rnacentral:RNase_P_RNA from 8 species
GAAGCUGACCAGACAGUCGCCGCUUCGUCGUCGUCCUUUCGGGGAGACGGGCGGAGGGGAGGAAAGUCCGGGCUCCAUAGGGCAGGGUGCCAGGUAACGCCUGGGGGGGAAACCCACGACCAGUGCAACAGAGAGCAAACCGCCGAUGGCCCACGUAAGUGGGAUCAGGUAAGGGUGAAAGGGUGCGGUAAGAGCGCACCGCGCGGCUGGUAACAGUCCGUGGCACGGUAAACUCCACCCGGAGCAAGGCCAAAUAGGGGUUCAUAAGGUACGGCCCGUACUGAACCCGGGUAGGCUGCUUGAGCCAGUGAGCGAUUGCUGGCCUAGAUGAAUGACUGUCCACGACAGAACCCGGCUUAUCGGUCAGUUUCACU